rnacentral:rRNA from 1 species
AUUGAACGCUGGCGGCAUGCCUUACACAUGCAAGUCGAACGGCAGCACGGGAGCAAUCCUGGUGGCGAGUGGCGAACGGGUGAGUAAUAUAUCGGAACGUGCCCGGUCGUGGGGGAUAACGUAGCGAAAGCUACGCUAAUACCGCAUACGAUCUACGGAUGAAAGCGGGGGGAUCGCAAGACCUCGCGCGAUUGGAGCGGCCGAUAUCAGAUUAGGUAGUUGGUGAGGUAAAGGCUCACCAAGCCGACGAUCUGUAGCUGGUCUGAGAGGACGGCCAGCCACACUGGGACUGAGACACGGCCCAGACUCCUACGGGAGGCAGCAGUGGGGAAUUUUGGACAAUGGGCGCAAGCCUGAUCCAGCAAUGCCGCGU